CGGGGAUCGUUUUUCUCGUGCUAUUAAAUCGAUGUCCAGACUUUGGUAUUUAAACGUCGUCUGACCAAUAUUUCAUAAGACUUUGGAAAGCAUUCGAAUUGGAUUCGUCACAGCGCCCUGGUUUAUCUAUCGGAAUAGACAGUCCAGUGUGAACAGCAGCUUUGAAACUUUCGGACAUUACGUAUUGACCAGAGAAUAAUCAUGCUUCGACUUGCAUUAAUACUUCCAGUAUUUUAUUUAGUUGCGCAGGUUUAUGGUAGAGAAAUAAGUCCGACUGCUGAUGACAAAGAAGAUGACGGACGUUUUCUAAAACGAUUUUAUGACUUAGUUUUACAGGAACGAGAUCUUUCUGCCUGUGGAAUCCCAGAAUCCUAUCUGGACUGUGCACAUGUAAAUAGAUGUGAAAAUGGGUGUUCUGAAGACCAGUACUGUUGUUCGAGUAAAAAAUGUGGGGAUAUAUGUCUCUGUUAUAGAGAGCCUGUCGACUGUGAGCUAUUCUGUCGCUAUGGAUACAACACAAACUACAAUGGAUGCUAUAGGUGUUCUUGUCAACAAGGUGUCGGACGACUUCUAAGGAGAUUACUCGGCCCAAAAACUAAACAGACCGAUAACUACGGGGAGGAAGAUGAUGAAGUUUUGUGAAGAUCUGAAAGAUUUCAGAGGAAAGAAGGAAAAAACAUUGAGUAAAAUAAAGAAAAAAUGUAAAAUAGAAAGUUAAAAAAAAAAAGAUACACUAGAAGAGGAAAGAAGAAAAAAAACUUGUAGAAAAUUACAAAAAAAAAAAGAAAAUAGAAAAUAAAUUAAAAAAAAUGAAA